AAUGCAAGCAGAUGAAGAGGAAAGAACUGAGCAGCAGUAUUUCAGGAUUCUCAAUAAGGCAUCAAUGAAAAAAGGUCAAAACUGUGAUCCCUGCUACUUGGGAGGCUGAGACACAAGAAUUGCUUGAAUCCAGGAGGCGGAGGUUGCAGUGAACCAAGAUCAUGCCACUGAACUCCAGCCUGGGUGACAGAGCAAGAGUCUGUCUCAAAAAAAAAAAAAAGAAAAGAAAAAGAUAUUGCUUAGAAAAGUAACUUGAGUCCUGUUGAGCCUAAGUAAAGGACAAUAAUGGAAGUUUCUAGUCUGCAAAAUAUGAAGAUGCCCCUCAGAGACACAGCUGUGGGUGCCUCUCACAAGACAGAUGUUCAGGAAAACUGGGCUGUUGCUCUGGAAUUUUCAAUGAGUUAUUUUACUUGUUUUUGCCUCAGUUUACAGAAAAUAAACUGGCAACAAUAUCUCCUUGUUAUUGUGAGGAUAAAAUAAAAGGUGUGACAUUUCUAUUUUAAAUGUAUAAAAUGCCGAAAAAUUGGAGGCAACUGGAAGGUACAGUAGUGGAUGUGAGGUAGUAAGGGGGAAAAAAGGAUAUGUAAAUCACCUAAGAUGAAAUAGACAUUCAGAAGGCCGUAACGUGAAGUGUGAGUGACACUGAUUCGCUAAAAAUCCUAUAUAGUGUCUUAAAACAGCAGCAGUAACAACAACAAAGUUUAUUUGAGAGGAGGAAUUCUGGAAAAAAGCUUCUUUCAAAAAAAAAAAAAGAGUCUUCUAGUGCUCAGACAGUUCGUUCCUCUGCAAAGGCGGGUUACUCUGUUGGGGUCCAUUAUAGUUCUGAGGAUGAAUAGGACAGGACAAGGAGAUGGUUCCUGGCCCCUGUUCUCCUGCCACAGAUCUGUCCCACCUCCCAGGCUCCAUGCAUACAGUGACAGAGAUGGAAAGCCCAGAACCAGUCCCUUUAAUGCACUUAUUUGCAAAACAAGAUGUCACUAUGCAGCAGAGUGACAGUCCUUUCCCCUGGAACUGUCCCAGAGUUCUCCAAGCUGAAGCCAGGGCUACAUUCACCAUCUCAGACUCCUGCUGAGCUAAGUAACCACCCUCUCCUACCUUCUCUUCAGGAGCCCUGGCACCCUUGCUCUGGGGAGAGUUUGAAGAGCAACCUGAAAGUUCCCACAGUUUUUCCUCAAAUCUGGGUUUCCAUGAGCAUGGGCCACCAGUCGGGAGAGCCACAUGCCUGCCCUUGCCUGGCUCAAGACUGUCACUCUGUCAGAUUCAUAUCGCUCUCUGACCCUUAGCCUUCCAGUCUGGAUCUUGACCUUGAACUGGACUCUGUAGGAAGUUCUUAACAUUAAAGGAAGUUAUUUAUCUCUUUUCAACUAACCCAAGCACUUUCUAGCACCUUUUAGCAGUUUAAGCUCUAUGACUCCAUUGGAUAAAAUGCUGGGGAGCAGGACAUUGACACAGUCACAGAAUAUCACACACGGAAUCCUCAUUCAUUCCCCCAGGGAAACAGCACCUGUAGAAGACAAAUCUGGUAGACACUACUGUGACAGGUGAUUUUAUAUGUCAGCUUGACUAGGCCACAGGAUGUGUAGACAUUUGUCAAAUUUUUUUUUAUAUGUCUGUGAGGAUGUUUCUGGAUGAGAUUAACAUUGAAUCAGUAGACUGAGUAAAGAAGACCGCCCUCCCCAGUGGGGGUGUCCCUCAUCCAACCUGUGGAAGCCCUACAUAGAACAAAAAGGCUGAACCUCCCCCAAAAUACGGUGAUCUCAAGCUGCCUGACUUCUGGUGCUGGAACAUUGUUCUUUUUCUGCCUUCCGACUCAAACUGAAAAUCAGCUCAUCUUGUAUCCUGAGUCUGCUGGCUUCCAGACUGAACUAUACAUUGACUCUCCCAGGUUUCCAGCUUGCAACUGCUGGUCUUGGGACUUCUCAGCCUCCAUAAUCAUGCAUUAGCCAAUUUCUAUAUAGAUCUAGAAAUUCAUAUAUAUAUAUGUGUGUGUGUGUGUGUAUGUGUGUGUGUGUGUGUACGCAUAUAUAUACAGUCAUGAAUCACUGAGCAGUGGGCAUACCUUCUGAGAAAUGUGUCAUUAGGCACUGUUAUCAUUGUGUGAACAUCAUAGUGUACUUACACACACCUAGACGGUAUAGCCUACAACACACCUAGGCUAUAUAGUAUAACUUGUUGCUGGUAGAUUACAAACCUGUACAACCUGUUACUGUACUGAAUACUGUAGGCAAUUGUAAAACAAUGGUAAGUAUUUGUGUAUCUAAACAUAGCUAACCAUAGAAAAGGUACAGUAAAAAUACUGUAUAAGAGAUAAAACAUGGUGUGCCUGUAUAGGUUGCUUACCAUAAAUAAAGCUUGCAGGUUGGAAGUUACUCUGGGUGAGUCAGUGAGUAAAUGAUGAGUGAAUGUGAGGCCCUUGGACAUCACUGUACCCUACUGUAGACUUUAUAAACACUGUACACUUAGGUUACCCUAAAUCUAUUUUAAAAUUGUUUUCUUUCUUCAAUAAUAAAUUACCCUUAGCUUACUGU
ensembl:lncRNA LINC01923 long intergenic non-protein coding RNA 1923